AUCGCUUCUCGGCCUUUUGGCUCAGAUCAAGUGUAGUAUCUGUUCUUAUCAGUUUAAUAUCUGAUACGUCCCCCAUAGGGGGACUACAUAUUAAAUGGAUUUUUCGAACAGGGAGUCGGAAAUGGGGCUUGCUCCGUCCGCUCCACGCAUCGACCCGGUAUUGCAGUACCUCCGGGAACGGUGCAACACUU
ensembl:snRNA U2 U2 spliceosomal RNA